rnacentral:rRNA from 1 species
UGAGGAAUAUUGGUCAAUGGGCGGGGAGCCUGAACCAGCCAAGUCGCGUGAGGGAAGACGGUCCUACGGAUUGUAAACCUCUUUUUGCCGGGGAGCAACGGGGUCCUUGCGAGGGCCCGAUGAGAGUACCCGGAGAAAAAGCAUCGGCUAACUCCGUGCC